AUGGAUGAGAGCCCUUCAGUAGGUACUCCAAAAAUACUCCCUAGAACACCCUCAUCAUUCAAAAAAUCUACUCCAUUGACCUUCAAGCAAAUGUUAUCAUCUUUCACUAUAAACAUAUAUGUGUAGAAUCUACGAGCCUCCUCCUUUUGGGACUUAAAUUGGUGAACAAAUGAGUCCACUUUUGAAAUUCACAUAUGUCAAACAACUGCUUCCUAAGCCUUUAUUUGCUUUCAACCUUUGCCACAGUCACUUGGCUUUCACAGAGGAAACAGGUUCCUCUUUGUCACUAGCCUUCCUCUUCACGGACUUCUUUUUAUUUUUCUCAUUCUUUUCAAUCUUCUCACCAGAUUUCACACCAGACUGGUCUCCCCCCCAACAAUUUUCACUUCAUCAACCUCUAUAGCUUUCAUAGAUGAACCUCUCUUGGGCUUUGGAAUCACAGAUUUCUUAGAGGAUUUACGAAUUAAGGAAGCAGGUUCCUCAUUCAUCCAUUCAUCAUCAACAUGGAAACUAUUUGAUGGAGGCACAUUCUCCUCAUUCACUAGGUUUACCCCUUUCACAAACCUUCUUCUUUUCUUUUCCUUUUGUUUUUCUUUCAGAAAAGUCUCAUAAGCUUCUUUCUUUUGUAGCCUGGUAGUGGGUCUUUUAAGAUCUGGCUAUUUGGGAACUGCCCUACCACUUCUAGCAACAAUGAAUCUUGCCACAUUCACAUUAUCAUAUUUUUCCUUACUAUAUUAACUUUCCUCUUUAGAAAGAGGUCUCAUUUCAGGAAUAACAAAGUUCAUUGGCACAACAUUAAAGUGAGGAGAAGGAGCAGUGUCAAUACUGUAACGACCUGGCUAGUCGUCUCAUAAGUUACCACUUUGUUUCCCCCAUUUCUUCUUCUUAUUGCUUCGUUUAUCAGUUCUAUGUGUGAUCCGAUUGGCUUGCUCGGUUUUGGGAAGGAUUUGGUAAGGUUUGAGACACUUAGUCCCUUUUUAGUAAGCUUAAGUUGGAAAAGUCAACCAGAUGUUGACUUAUGUAUUAGAGGGAUCGGAUGUGAGUUCUGAUGGUUUGGAUAGCUUUGAUAGGUGAUUUGGGACUUAGGAACGUGAUCAGAACGAGUUUUGGAGGUUCGGAGUAGAUUUAGG
rnacentral:lncRNA from 1 species